rnacentral:lncRNA from 1 species
UAACUCAUCCAGUGAGAUCAGUAUCAUCCUAACACCAAAAUCAGACUGACUUGUGAUCAAAGGAAGAGAAAACUACAGGCCAAUAUCCUCAUUGAAUAUCAGUGCAAAAUCCUCAAAAAAAUACUGGCAAACCCAAUCCAAGCAUUUGAGAAAAUCCAACACCCCUUCAGAAUCUGAACGCUUUCCCUGUAGCUCAGGAGCAGAAGGAGGAGGUCUGCUCUCCUGUUUCUAUUUAAUGUUGUAAUGGAGGCUCUAGAUAAAACAGUUAGUACAGAAUAAGAAGAGAACAAAAGACAGAAAGAGAGAAAGAAAGGCAAGGUCUCCAUGCUGGAAAUGAAGAAAUGAAAUUAUCUCUGUCUGAAAUUUCAUGAGAACAGUGCAGACCGAGGCAGGGUGGGCGCAGUAGAAGUGGAGCAGGGUUGGCCAGGAGCUGAUAAUGAUGGAUGAACUUUUCCUCUAAUUUUUUACAUGCUUAAAAUUUUAUGCAACCUUUGGCCAGGUGCAGUGGCUCACACCUGUAAUCCCAGCACUUUGGGAGGCCGAGGCAGAUCACCUGAGGUCAGGAGUUUGAGAUCAGCCCAGCCAACAUGGCAAAACCCUGUCUCUACUAAAAAUACAAAAAUUAGUCCAGCAUGGUGGUGCAUAACACCCGUAAUCCCAGCUACCUGGGAGGCUGAGGCAGGAGAAUCACUUGAACCUGGGAGGCAGAGGUUGCAGUGAG